rnacentral:rRNA from 1 species
GAUGAACGCUGGCGGCGUGCCUAAUACAUGCAAGUCGAGCGAACAGACGAGGCGCUUGCUCCUCUGACGUUAGCGGCGGAUGGGUGAGUAACACGUGGAUCACCUACCUAUAAUACUGGGAUAACUUCGGGAAACCGGAGCUAAUACCCGUUAAUAUAUUUAACCGCAUGGGGCAAGAGUUAAAGACGGUUUUUCUGCCCCUGAUAGAUGGAUCUGCGCCGCAUUAGCUAGUUGGUAAGGUAACGGCUUACCAAGGCGACGAUGCGUAGCCGACCUGAGAGGCGGAUCGGCCACACGGGAAGUGGGACGCGGACCAGGCUCCUACGGGAGGGAGCAGACGGGAAUCUGCGGCAAAAGGCGAAAGCAUUACGGAACAACGGCGAGUGAGUGAUGAAGGUCUUCGGAGCGUAAAACACUCUUAUUAGGGAAGAACCAAUGUGUAAGGAAAUAUGCCCGUAUUGACGGUACCUAAUCAGAAAGCCACGGCUAACUACGUG